UACGUAGGGUGCAAGCGUUAAUCGGAAUUACUGGGCGUAAAGCGUGCGCAGGCGGUUUUGUAAGUUUGUCGUGAAAUCCCCGGGCUUAACCUGGGAAUUGCGAUGAAGACUGCAAGGCUAGGAAUCUGGCAGAGGGGGGGUAGAAUUCCACGUGUAGCAGUGAAAUGCGUAGAUAUGUGGAGGAACGACCGAUGGCGAAGGCAGCCCCCUGGGUCAAGACUGACGCUCA
rnacentral:rRNA from 1 species